AACGGUCUAUACCUGCGGUACCUGCGGAAGGAUCAUUAUUGAAAACUUAACCCAUCAGGAGAGAUGGGGGGAAGACCUGUUUCUUCUUCCUGUCUUUUCUGAUCAAACAAACAUACGUGACUAGCAAAAAAACCAGAGGAUUUGGGGGGCUCAGACAACAAAAGUUCUUGGCUGAUAAGUAGCUUGCUGAUUUGGAGUUACAACAGUUCAAUACAACUUUUAACAAUGGAUCUCUAGAUC
rnacentral:misc_RNA from 1 species